rnacentral:sRNA from 1 species
AAGGCUGCGUGCACUGGAGCUGGGUCAUCUCAGGCCUUGGCUCCUUGAACUUUUGGCCGCCAUGUGCUUCGCGAAGGUCCACUCUGCUGCAAUUAAAGAUCUGAGGGCCCGAAUGGUAAUGCUCCUCCCUACUUCUGCUCAGGGAUUGGGGGUCUGGGUCUCAGCCUGUGACACUGAGGGCACUAUGGGACACCGGGGACCCUGGAGGGACAAGGAUCAGGCCCUUUGGUGCCAACACUGCCUCUCUUCACAGCAUCAAGCCGUAGACAGAUAUUGUGAUGAAAUGGAAAAUGAAGAAUCAGGAUGUGGACAGGUGGGUGGAUUUGCCCUCAGGCACCAGGUCACAUGUCCCCACCCCCAGGCUCUCCACCCUGUGGGGGGCUCAGGGUAAGAAGGAUGAAGAGGGACCCACAGGCUCCCUCAUCCCUUACCCUGGGCAAAUGCUUGCACCUGGGUGGCAGUGAGUGGGCGGGUGGGGGAUCUGGACGCCCGGGGAGACUGAGGGAGGCGUUCAAGCCCCAGGGCUCCUUGAGGAAACAACAGGGGUGCCAGACGUGGCCCGGGCUCCUGGCUGGACCCAGUUCGGGGUGUGUGGGAGCUGAGGACUGGCUGGGCUUGAGGACUGGCUGAUGUGGAGUGAGGGGAGGCUGGGGCCUGGAACCGAGUGCUUUGCUCCUAACAGGUGAUGUCGGGCCUGGCAGAGCUGGAGGUGAGCCGUGGCCUCCCCCUCCACCAAGCUUAGUCCCUGGGUCUUAGGCUCCACAGGACACUGGGUCUGGGCUCCGGGUCCCCUUGGGAAUCACCUGGACCAGUGGAGGCCACCGUGGGGAGGGGGCAGCCAGGAGCAGCGUGAACCCCCUGUGCCCUCCUCUCCCCAGGACGACUGCAAAGAGAGCUACCUGGACACAAUGGAGGCUCAUUAUCAGGAACACCACCCAGUGAGUAUGACGCACCCAUCUGGGCACCUUGCCUCCCUUCACCCCUGCCCUGUCUUUUCUUUCUUUCUGUUUGUUUUUUUGAGACAGAGUCUCGCUCUGUCGCCCAGGCUGGAGUGCAGUGGCAUGAUCUUGCAUCCUCACUGCAUCCUCCAAAUCUUGGGUUUAAGCGAUUCUCCUGCCUCAGCCUGACGAGUAGUUGGGACUACAGGCAUCCACUACCAUGCCAAGCUGAUUUUUUUUUGUAGUAUUAGUAGAGACGGGGUUUCACCAUGUUUGCCAGGCUGGUCUUGAACUCCUGACCUUGUGAUCCAUCCGCCUUGGCCUCCCAAAGUGCUGGGAUUACAGGCAUGAGCCACCGGGCCUGGCCAACCCCUGCCCUGUCUUGAUGUGGGUGUGGGCAGGGUGUGACCAGCCCCUGAGCUU